rnacentral:lncRNA from 10 species
CUUACAUUCAUUUUAUUUGAGUUCCUUCUUCAGGAAAGAACCCCCAGACCUCUCAAAAAGUAUCAAAGAACUGAAACUCACCAGGUAACCACCUCCAGACAAUGAGACCAGACCCCUUAUUCAUUCUGAUUGCUUCUUUCCCUUUCUGAGUUCCUGUUGUCCUAUACACGGUUACGUUUCUUCCUUGCUAGAUAAACCCCUAGUUUUAGUCAGUCAGGGAGAUGGAUUUGAGACAGAGCUCCCCUCUCCUCGGCUGCAACACCCAGUUACAGCUUUCUUCCUCAGCAAUACUUGUCAUCUCAGUGAUUGGCUUUCUGUGCAGAGAGCCGCAGGAUCUAGAUGUUUCCGUAACAGAUAUAUGGGGCACGGAGGAUUCUUAGGGCAGUGUUUCCGUAACAGAUAUAUGGGGCACGGAGGAUUCUUAGGGCAGUGAAACAAUUCUGUAUGAUGCAAAAACGGUGGGGACAAGUCAUUAUACAUUUGUCCAAACCCACAGAAUGUACGACACCAGGAGUGAAUUCCAUUCAAUUCCACUUAAUUUUUCUGGAAACCCAAAACUGCUUUUUUUUUUUUUUUUUUUUUUUUUUUUUUUGGAGACAGAGUCUCACUCUGUCACCCAGGCUGGAGUACAGUGGCACGAUCUUGGCUCACUGCUGCAACCUCUGACUUCCAGGUUCAGGUGAUUCUCCUGCUUCCACCACCAGAGUCCUGCCUCCACCACCAGAGUAGCUGGGAUUACAGGUAUGCGUCUCCACGCCCGGCUAAUUUUUCUGUUUUAGUAGAGAUGAGAUUUCACCAUGUUGGCCAGGCUGGUCUCGAACUCCUGGCCUCAAGUAUUUUGCCCGUCUCAGCCUUCCAAAGUGCUGGGAUUACAGGCAUGAGCCACCACGCCCCGCCAUCAAAAUUGCUUUUUAAAAGUGUGUUAAAUUCAAAAAAAGAAGCUAGAGGAAAGAGGGCAGAGGGUGGCAUUCAGGCAGCAGAAGGGCUGUCCUCAUGGUCCUUGUGGUGAGGGGAUGACCUCCUGCUGAAGGCCAGUCCACUGAGCUGGCACCCACAGAGGGGGACCUGGACUGUUUGCAGCUGAACAGCCUGUAGCCAGGGCUAUCAGAAGGCAGGGAGACCUGGAGUGCAUUGACAGUCACCACACAGGUUUCCAGGAACCUUCCCUCCCUUCCCUGAGUCAGCAUUCAUGCAUACAUUCCUUCCCUUAUUCAUUCAAAAUGUUUCUGGCCAGCCUACCAGGCACCCAGCACAUCAGACCUCUGAUCAUUUGCUCAUAGACUCAUUCAUUCAUUCACUUAAUCACUGUCUCUGUCUAGGCAGAAAGCAAACAUCUAGUCCUGCCAGCCCUAGACAGAAUGAUUUCAAACCCUAAUUAGUACUGUGGGGCUUAAUGAGGUUUCCUGGGAUUCUCAUUAUCAGGGAAAUCAUUUCACAAAAGCUGUCCAUGAUACAGUGGGCAGGGGCACCUCAUGCCAGUAAGGAGCCUCUUCCUGAGAUGAGCAACCGAGGAAACACCAAUUAAGCAAGGAAGCUGUGGAAGGGGAUGCCCCGGGCUUCCCAGAGUGCAGAGCAUGGAUGCUUAGCUGAGGGGUGGGGCUGGAACCUGGCUGCCAAAGCAGUUCUGCCAGCAGGAGCAGGGAUGGCCAGGCAGCAGCACAGGUCACUGCCCCGCAUGGUCAACAUGCAUUGCGGAUUUUAGCUUGCGUUUACGGAUGGCUUCUAGCUACAAAAGACACAGUGGCGCUCAGUUGCUCACCUGUGUAUUUUAAGUAACUAAUUCCUAUUCACACACUCAUUCAUUUAGCCAUUCAUGCAGGUUUCAGAUGUUUAAUGAGCAUCUACUAUGUGCCAAGCAGCUUCAUAAUAAACACACACUUAUUCAUAAAUCCAUGCAUCUGUAGACUUCAGAUGUUCAAAUGUUCAUAGAUGGCUUGGGGCUUGCAGGGACAGAUCUUCCAGUGUCACCAGGAGCCUCUGGGAUAGGCGGGAAACGCUUCCUACAGGGGGUGGGGCGGGGGGCGCAUUUGAGCUCCAUGUGGGGAAGGCCCAGGGCAACUCUAAGCUGAGUGCAGAGUCCCAGGUCCCGAAAAUAGUGAGGCUUCCAGGUCACGAGGUUACACCAGCAUCCAUGACGUCAGCAGGCCAGCGGCGGGCCCUUAGCCAUGGAGGUUCAGAUCGUGUGGGUUGUGGGUCCCACGGUCCCAGAGUCAGCCGGGCGCCCAUUGGCUUGGCCUCAGGAUGCCCAGGGACAUGCCUGGUGCAGCUGGGGCAGCAGGAGCUCACUCUACCAUGAAAUAUUCAUGGCUGCUGGCAAAGCCCGGCCCUAAAAUAUAGUUUGCAGAAGAAAAAGAGCCAUCAGGCAUUUAAUCAUUGUGUUAAUGAGGCUCUAUUUGGAAGCAAACUCCAUCUGACUGCGUCCUAGACAGCAAGAGUCAGGGCCCGGCCAACCUGUGUUGCCGGCCGCAGGGGCAGCCUCAUCCCUGAGACACCAGUGGGAGACACGCCCGGGCAAGGCACAGGCUUGGCUCGAGGCCAUGGCCAGCGGCCCUCCACUUCAGGGGAGCCCAUGAGAUUAUAACGGCAUCCUGAGGUUUGCCAAAAAGCAUCCUUUUAAGCAGAAAGCAAGCAACGGCCCUGCAUGGAGGCGCCACAGAUCCAGUCUGGCUGAGCAGGGGCUAGACCAACUCGUUUUCCCUAAGCAGCUUCCUCGGGGGAACCACUACCCCUCCUGCCUCCAGCUCCCCCUGCUGCCCAGGCCGCCGCCACAGGUCAGUGUCCUCCAAGGUGGGAUGCACCCCGUGGACACCCCCACAGGAGCUUCCCAAGCUGACUUCCCGGGCUACCCCAGCUCAGCCCUGCCUCGGCUUUUGUUCUCCUGAGGGCCCCUGUCUGAGGCAAAGGUGUCACAGCUCCACCAACGCCAGGCUCUUCCUACAGUGCCAAGGACGCCCACCUGCUUCUCAGCCGAGCCUUCCAGCCUGGGUCUACUCUUGGCCAAUGGCCGGUGCCCCUCUGGAAAGGGUUGUCUCGUGCCUACAUGUCCCUCUGAGUUGCUUUUCAGAAGUAAUUUCCAUGUAAUGAGAACACAGGGAAAUCUCAUUAUUUCAGACACCACUAAUUAGGGGUUUGUGAUCAGCCUGUCCAGGGCCAGCAGAAGCUGACAUUUGCUUUCUCCACAGACACUGCAAAUUACCAUCCAGACAAGAUUGCCGGGCCCUUUACAAAGCCUGAAGCAGCUCCUGCAGCCGCCGUCAGCGUCAGCAGCCGCCCUUCUUCGCCAGGUGUGCUGAUUGCAAGUCUCUCUGUGCGGCAGGAGGGGACGUCUCCAAAGGGCAGGCGUCCAGUGGCAGCACCGCAGGCCUGUGGGUGUUCCACCUGCAGAGGCCCCAGAGCAGCCCACGGAGGGCCACGGUGGUAUUAUUCCCAUUUCACAGGGAAGAAGCAAGGUCAGAGCUCUUCCCAGAUGGCUCAGUGAGUACAUCAUAGGGACAUGCCCCAGGCCACCAGGCCCCACGGCCUCCAGGGUCCUGGCAAGUCCCCCCAGGGACGGUGGGUGGAGAGGAGGGGUUGCUGGCAAAAAUCAGGGCCCCUGGGGAGCAAUCCUCUCCUGUGGGCUACAGGUCUUCAUCAGGGAUGGACUCAGUGGGUCCCAGGCUCCCUUCUCCAGCUCUGCCAAAUUCCAUCCCACCCGGGAGAUGUGGGGUCCGAGCAAAGGGACCCUUCUCCUCUGUGAACUUAGAGGUCCAUAAAGGACAACGGUCCAGGGCAGCGAGGCACGUCGGGGUGGACAGUGACGAGGGAGCCGCGGCCCAGCCAUCCUGCUGUGGGGGAGACGCCCCAAGGGAUGCACAGUGAGGCCUGGGCAGUGGGAGCUCCAGAAGCUACAGAGCAGGAGCCAUGGCUGCAUGUCCAGAGCCAGGCUUUCCAUUCCCACGCUGCCCACGAUGACGGAGCGGAGGACACAGAGGGAGGAGAAAACGCCCCCUGAGAAGGGGGACAGGGACGACAGAGCCUUGGAGGGAGUUCGGACAGGAGGGAGUGCCCACUGAGCGCAUUUCCUGAAACUUCCAGCUCCCCCUCCCCCGAGUCUUUCCCAGGGCCAAGGCCAUCCCUGGUCACGGAGCCCGCACCGCCUCCUCCCUGCAGCGCCAGGCCCAUGCUGCCCGCCCUUACCCGCUCCUCCCGUCCGGCGCUUGAGAGACGUGGUGUCUGGAAAGUCUGUCCCAUCCCAGCUUCCACAACACCCACUGAGACCCACGCCAACGCGCCCCGCCCACGAGAACCCAGGUCACUCCCGCUUGGUGACUGCGGAAGAACUUUCCGGGUGUCACGUUGGUCCAGUCCCAGCAAUUUAAUCAAAUCUGGAAAUCUGGGCCGGCACCUGGUUCGGGACUCAUCCCCUGUUGCUAGGAAACCCAACUCCUGCGGAUCCCACCCUGCUCCAUCCGGAGACAGUGGGAGAGACCCUCCUGCAGCUGAGGCCAGGGCUGGGGAAUGGCUGGAGAUGGAUGGGGACAGCAGUGGCCUUUGCACUGGCUGACUUCACAGCAGAACUCCCACGAGUGCCGAGAAACAGCGUGUAGGGGCGCUGCUCUCCCUACAAGCCCUUCCAGGCGCUGCAGGUCACUUAGAAGCUUGUGGCGCAUCCCUCGGUACCUCUCUCUGCCUGCGCACCAUAAACACCCAGACUACAGGGCCAUACCUGUCUCUUCUUGGUCUCCCCAGCAUCCUGCAGAUUAGUGGCCCUUCAGACACUUUGCACCCCAGUAGGGGGUGGGGAGGCUGGUGGAAAGUGAGCCCUGUGGCUCCUGGAGAAGCGGCGAGCAGCAGGCAGUGUUACACAAGGGUCCUCCCAACCCAGCUGACCUCACCAGGUCAUUCAUGCAAGAAUGCGGGGCCAAUGGGUUUCUGCCAGGCGUGCCAGGGCUGAGGGCACCCCUGGGUCCUCACAGCCCCCACUGUCCAGGGACAGCAGAGUCCUCCUUCCCUUUGCCAUUUCCAUGUUUCUCAUUUCAAUAAUUCUUGCAGCCCAUGUUGUGUAAAUAAAAUUAUUCUUCCCAAAAAAAUCGUUAGCAGAGCCCGACAUUAAUUCCCCUGCAAUCUGUGUAAUUAACUGCAUGUAAUAUAGGGCAUUAAAGGACCGGUUUGCUAAUCACCACUCCUCCGCUCCACGCACCUAAUUAAAUCUCCUUCCUGUUUAUCCACUUACAGGAUCCUCUGCAAAGAUACCAGGCACCAGGAACACUGUUGUAAUAAAUCUUUGCGUAAUUUUAGAGGGUGCAGUCCCACUCUGUUUCAUUCCCACUGCUGAGCCCCUCCUCCCUGCAGCCACGUCUCCCCAUGACUCGGC